rnacentral:tRNA from 1 species
GCACCCGUAGCUCAGUGGAUAGAGCAGCGGAUUUCUAAUCCGUAGGUCGAAGGUUCGAUCCCUUCCGGGUGCG